GAUGAACGCUGGCGGCGUGCCUAAUACAUGCAAGUCGAGCGAACAGACGAGGAGCUUGCUCCUCUGACGUUAGCGGCGGACGGGUGAGUAACACGUGGAUAACCUACCUAUAAGACUGGGAUAACUUCGGGAAACCGGAGCUAAUACCGGAUAAUAUAUUGAACCGCAUGGUUCAAUAGUGAAAGACGGUUUUGCUGUCACUUAUAGAUGGAUCCGCGCCGCAUUAGCUAGUUGGUAAGGUAACGGCUUACCAAGGCGACGAUGCGUAGCCGACCUGAGAGGGUGAUCGGCCACACUGGAACUGAGACACGGUCCAGACUCCUACGGGAGGCAGCAGUAGGGAAUCUUCCGCAAUGGGCGCAAGCCUGACGGAGCCACGCCGCGUGAGUGAUGAAGGUCUUCGGAUCGUAAAACUCUGUUAUUAGGGAAGAACAAAUGUGUAAGUAACUAUGCACGUCUUGACGGUACCUGAUCAGAAAGCCACGGCUAACUACGUG
rnacentral:rRNA from 1 species